GACGAACGCUGGCGGCGUGCCUAAUACAUGCAAGUAGAACGCUGAAGGCGGAGCUUUCUUCUCUGGUUGAGUUGCGAACGGGUGAGUAACGCGUAGGUAACCUGCCUGUUAGCGUGGGAUAACUAUUGGAAACGAUAGCUAAUACCGCAUAAGAGUUGCUGUUGCACGACAUUUGCUUAAAAGUUGCAAUUGCAUCACUACCAGUUGCACCUGCGUUGUAUUAGCUUGUUGGUGUGGUAACGGCUCACCAAGGCGACGAUACAUCGUCGAACUGAGAGGGUGAGUGGCCACACUGAGAGUGAGACACGGCACAGACGGCUACGGGAGGCAGCAGGAGGGAAACGUGGGCAAUGGACGGAAGUCUGAGCGAGAAACGCCGCGUGAGUGAAGAAGGAUUUCGGAUCGUAAAGCUCUGUUGUAAGAGAAGAACGAGUGUGAGAGUGGAAAGUUCACACUGUGACGGUAUCUUACCAGAAAGGAACGGCUAACUACGUG
rnacentral:rRNA from 1 species